AGGGAUGUAGCGUAGGUUGGUAGCGCGUUUGUUUUGGGUUCAAAUGUCACGGGUUCAAAUCCCGUCUUCCCUA